rnacentral:rRNA from 1 species
GAUGAACGCUGGCGGCAUGCUUAAUACAUGUAAGUCGAACGAAGUGCUUUUGUCUUCGGAUGGAAGUAUCUUAGUGGCGAAUGGGUGAGUAACGCGUUGGUGACCUGCCCCGAAGUGAGGGAUAACAGUUCGAAAGGACUGCUAAUACCACAUGUGGUCAAUGGGUUUAGAAGCCAUUGACUAAAGGAGCAAUUCGCUUCGGGAGGGACCUGCGUCCCAUCAGCUAGUUGGUAGGGUUACGGCCUACCAAGGCUAUGACGGGUAGGAGGCCUGAGAGGGUGGCCCCCCACAUUGGCACUGACACACGGGCCAAACACCUACGGGUGGCAG